rnacentral:rRNA from 1 species
UUAGACGGGGACCCGCACAAGCGGUGGAUGAUGUGGUUUAAUUCGAUGCAACGCGAAAACCUUACCCACCUUUGACAUGGCAGGAAUCCUGAAGAGAUUUGGGAGUGCUCGAAAGAGAACCUGCACACAGGUGCUGCAUGGCUGUCGUCAGCUCGUGUCGUGAGAUGUUGGGUUAAGUCCCGCAACGAGCGCAACCCUUGCCAUUAGUUGCUACGAAAGGGCACUCUAAUGGGACUGCCGGUGACAAACCGGAGGAAGGUGGGGAUGACGUCAAGUCCUCAUGGCCCUUAUAGGUGGGGCUACACACGUCAUACAAUGGCCGGUACAGAGGGUAGCCAACCCGCGAGGGGGAGCCAAUCCCACAAAGCCGGUCGUAGUCCGGAUCGCAGUCUGCAACUCGACUGCGUGAAGUCGGAAUCGCUAGUAAUCGCGGAUCAGCAUGUCGCGGUGAAUACGUUCCCGGGUCUU